rnacentral:rRNA from 1 species
AUUGAACGCUGGCGGCAGGCCUAACACAUGCAAGUCGAGCGGAAACGAGUUAUCUGAACCUUCGGGGAACGAUAACGGCGUCGAGCGGCGGACGGGUGAGUAAUGCCUAGGAAAUUGCCCUGAUGUGGGGGAUAACCAUUGGAAACGAUGGCUAAUACCGCAUGAUGCCUACGGGCCAAAGAGGGGGACCUUCGGGCCUCUCGCGUCAGGAUAUGCCUAGGUGGGAUUAGCUAGUUGGUGAGGUAAGGGCUCACCAAGGCGACGAUCCCUAGCUGGUCUGAGAGGAUGAUCAGCCACACUGGAACUGAGACACGGUCCAGACUCCUACGGGAGGCAGCAGUGGGGAAUAUUGCACAAUGGGCGCAAGCCUGAUGCAGCCAUGCCGCGUGUAUGAAGAAGGCCUUCGGGUUGUAAAGUACUUUCAGUCGUGAGGAAGGCGGCGUCGUUAAUAGCGGCGUUGUUUGACGUUAGCGACGGAAGAAGCACCGGCUAACUCCGUGCCAGCAGCCGCGGUAAUACGGAGGGUGCGAGCGUUAAUCGGAAUUACUGGGCGUAAAGCGCAUGCAGGUGGUUUGUUAAGUCAGAUGUGAAAGCCCGGGGCUCAACCUCGGAAUAGCAUUUGAAACUGGCAGACUAGAGUACUGUAGAGGGGGGUAGAAUUUCAGGUGUAGCGGUGAAAUGCGUAGAGAUCUGAAGGAAUACCGGUGGCGAAGGCGGCCCCCUGGACAGAUACUGACACUCAGAUGCGAAAGCGUGGGGAGCAAACAGG